ensembl:snRNA U6 U6 spliceosomal RNA
GUGCUCACUUCGGCAGCCCGUGUGCUAAAAUUGGAAUUCCGAGAAGACGGGCAUGGCCCCUGCUCAAGGACGACAGGAAAAUUCCUGAAGCAUUCCAUAUUUUU